rnacentral:rRNA from 1 species
GAUUAUGGCUCAGGAUGAACGCUAAGCUACAGGCUUAACACAUGCAAGUCGAGGGGUAGCAGGUAGCAAUACCGCUGACGACCGGCGCACGGGUGAGUAACACGUAUCCAACCUUCCCAUAACUCAGGGAUAGCCUUUCGAAGGAAAGAUUAAUACCUGAUAGUACUUUUUCAAGGCUAUCUUGAAAAAGUUAAAGAUUUAUUGGUUAUGGAUGGGGAUGCGUUCCAUUAGAUAGUUGGUGAGGUAACGGCUCACCAAGUCUUCGAUGGAUAGGGGUUCUGAGAGGAAGGUCCCCCACAUUGGUACUGAGACACGGACCAAACUCCUACGGGAGGCAGCAGUGAGGAAUAUUGGUCAAUGGGCGAGAGCCUGAACCAGCCAAGUAGCGUGAAAAGGAUGAAGGUCCUAUGGAUUGUAAACUUCUUUUAUAGUAGAAUAAAGUGAGCCACGUGUGGUUUUUUGUAUGUAUACUAUGAAUAAGGAUCGGCUAACUCCGUGCCAGCCGCCGC